rnacentral:rRNA from 1 species
CAGCUCUCCGAGUGGUGUGGAUGUUUAUUGGGCCUAAAGCAUCCGUAGCUGGCUGGGCAAGUCCCCUGUUAAAUCCACCGAUUUAAUCGUUGGUGUGCGGGGGAUACUGCUCGGCUAGGGGACGGGAGAGGCAGACGGUAUUUCCGGGGUAGGGGUGAAAUCCUAUAAUCCCGGGAGGACCACCAGUGGCGAAGGCUGUCUGCUAGAACGCGCCCGACGGUGAGGGAUGAAAGCUGGGGGAGCGAACCGGAUUAGAGACCCGAGUAGUCC